rnacentral:tRNA from 1 species
CAUGAUGUAGCUUAAAUCAA